GGCGGUUAAAGAUAAGCAUGCGGGACAUUAGCUAGUUGGUAAGGUAACGGCUUACCAAGGCGACGAUGUCUAGGGGGUUUGAGAGGAUGAUCCCCCACACUGGUACUGAGACACGGACCAGACUCCUACGGGAGGCAGCAGUGAGGAAUAUUGGGCAAUGGGCGCAAGCCUGACCCAGCCAUGCCGCGUGCAGGAUGAAGGUCCUAUGGAUCGUAAACUGCUUUUGUAUGGGAAGAACUUCCCGCAUUCGUGCGGGAUUGACGGUACUAUACGAAUAAGGACCGGCUAACUCCGUGCCAGCAGCCGCGGUAAUACGGAGGGUCCAAGCGUUAUCCGGAUUCACUGGGUUUAAAGGGUGCGUAGGUGGAACGAUAAGUCGAUGGUGAAAGCCUACAGCUUAACUGUAGAAUUGCCAUUGAUACUGUUGUUCUUGAGUAUAGUCGGGGGAAGUGGAAUGCGUAAUGUAGCGGUGAAAUGCAUAGAUAUUACGCAGAAUACCGAUCGCGAAAGCAGCUUCCUAGGCUAUUACUGACACUGAGGCACGAAAGCGUGGGGAGCGAACAGGAUUAGAUACCCUGGUAGUCCACGCCGUAAACGAUGCUCACUCGCUGUUGGCGAUAUAUUGUCAGCAGUUAAGCUAAAGCAUUAAGUGAGCCACCUGGGAAGUACGUCCGCAAGGAUGAAACUCAAAGGAGUUGACGGGGGCCCGCACAACCGGUGGAACAUGUGGUUCAAUUCGAUGAUACGCGAGGAACCUUACCUGGGCUUAAAUGUAGUUUGACUUCCGCCGAAAGGCGGUUUUCCUUCGGGACAAAUUACAAGGUGCUGCACGGCUGUCGUCAGCUCGUGCCGUGAGGUAUCGGGUUAAGUCCCUUAACGAGCGCAACCCCUAUUGUUAGUUACCAACAGGUUAAGCUGGGGACUCUAGCAAAACUGCCAGCGUAAGCUGGAGGAAGGUGGGGAUGACGUCAAGUCAGCAUGGCCCUUAUGUCCAGGGCUACACACGUGUUACAAUGGCCGAUACAAAGGGCAGCCACCACGCGAGUGGGAGCUAAUCCUUAAAAUCGGUCUCAGUUCGGAUCGAAGUCUGCAAUUCGACUUCGUGAAGGUGGAAUCGGUAGUAAU
rnacentral:rRNA from 1 species